CCAUGGACCAGAGCACACCAGGCACUCCUGUCUUCCAUUGCCUCCCGCAGUUUGGUCAAACUCAUGCUGGUAGCUUCGAGAACACUAUCCAACCAUCUCGUCCUGUCGUCCCCUUCUCCUUGUGCCCUCCAUCUUUCCCAACAUCAGGGUCUUUUCCAGGGAGUCUUCUCUUCUCAUGAGGUGGCCAAAGUAUUGGAGCCUCAGCUUCACACUCUGUCCUUCCAGUGAGCACUCAGGGCUGAUUUCCU